GAGGGUUUAGCUCAGUAGUAGAGCGUGUGCUUAGCAAGCACCAGGCCCUGGGUUCAGUCCCCAGCACCGCCA
rnacentral:tRNA from 1 species